UACGGGGGGGGCAAGCGUUGUUCGGAAUUACUGGGCGUAAAGGGCUCGUAGGUGGCCAACUAAGUCAACCGUGAAAUCCCUCGGCUUAACCGGGGAACUGCGUUUGAUACUGGAUGGCUUGAGUUUGGGAGAGGGAUGCGGAAUUCCAGGUGUAGCGGUGAAAUGCGUAGAUAUCUGGAGGAACACCGGUGGCGAAGGCGGCAUCCUGGACCGGUAUUGACGCUGAGGAGCGAAAGCCAGGGGAGCGAACGGG
rnacentral:rRNA from 1 species